GUGGGGAAUAUUGCACAAUGGAGGAAACUCUGAUGCAGCAACGCCGCGUGAGUGACGAAGGCCUUCGGGUUGUAAAACUCUGUCUUAGCUGACGAUAAUGACGGUAAGCUAGGAGGAAGCCACGGCUAACUACGUGCCAGCAGCCGCGGUAAUACGUAGGUGGCGAGCGUUGUCCGGAAUUACUGGGCGUAAAGGGAGCGUAGGCGGUUUUUUAAGUGGGAUGUGAAAUCCCCGGGCUUAACCUGGGAAUUGCAUUCCAUACUGGGAAACUAGAGUGCAGGAGAGGAAAGUGGAAUUCCAAGUGUAGCGGUGAAAUGCGUAGAGAUUUGGAGGAACACCAGUGGCGAAGGCGACUUUCUGGACUGAUACUGACGCUGAGGCUCGAGAGCGUGGGGAGCAAACAGGAUUAGAUACCCCAGUAGUCC
rnacentral:rRNA from 1 species